UUUACAUAACACCCUAUGUACCUAUUAAUUAUAAAUGCACAACACAAAUUGCCUCUAUUAGAUCAUAGUCAACCCACUCCACCACAACCAGUGUCUUCAGAAUUUGAUCCCAUGAUCAAGACACUCAGCCGCCGCCACCACCCUGCCACCACAUUCCGAUGGCCAAGUCAUCACAAAAUAUCGUUUCGGAGGCGGAAACUUCCCAGGAUCCGCCUUGGUGGGAAGAGGGCCCGUGGUGGAUUCUUGCUGAUGAGAGUUUUUCGGCGAGUGAAAAUGCGGUGGCUGAAAUUAAAGCACUCGAGAAUGCUUAAGAAGCUCAAAAAAUAUUAUCUCAAUAUGAUGAAAGACGUUGUUAUUGGGAGUGGUACAAUCAAGUCAUUCCAACAGAAGUUGCUUUCGGAGACAUCUUUUGCCAUUCCUGUUUUGGGACUUUCUUUCAAUUCAUAUCCAAACAAGUUUUGAGGUUAUUUCUAUUUAAUCUCGAUUUUUACUGCAGAAAAAAUGUAAGAAUGUGGAUAUAUAUAAAUAAAAUAUUGCG
rnacentral:lncRNA from 1 species